GUGUCAGCAGCCGCGGUAAGACAGAGGGUGCAAGCGUUGUUCGGAAUUAUUGGGCGUAAAGGGCGCGUAGGCGGCGCUGUAAGUCAGAUGUGAAAUCCCAGGGCUCAACCCUGGAAGUGCGUCUGAUACUGCAGUGCUUGAGUCUCGGAGAGGAUGGUGGAAUUCCCAGUGUAGAGGUGAAAUUCGUAGAUAUUGGGAGGAAUACCGGUGGCGAAGGCGACCAUCUGGACGAAGACUGACGCUGAGGCGCGAAAGCGUGGGGAGCAAACAGGAUUAGAAACCCGUGUAGUCC
rnacentral:rRNA from 1 species